GGGUUGUGAGGUUAAGCGACUAAGCGUACACGGUGGAUGCCCUGGCAGUCAGAGGCGAUGAAGGACGUGCUAAUCUGCGAUAAGCGUCGGUAAGGUGAUAUGAACCGUUAUAACCGGCGAUUUCCGAAUGGGGAAACCCAGUGUGUUUCGACACACUAUCAUUAACUGAAUCCAUAGGUUAAUGAGGCGAACCGGGGGAACUGAAACAUCUAAGUACCCCGAGGAAAAGAAAUCAACCGAGAUUCCCCCAGUAGCGGCGAGCGAACGGGGAGCAGCCCAGAGCCUGAAUCAGUGUGUGUGUUAGUGGAAGCGUCUGGAAAGGCGCGCGAUACAGGGUGACAGCCCCGUACACAAAAAUGCACAUGCUGUGAGCUCGAUGAGUAGGGCGGGACACGUGGUAUCCUGUCUGAAUAUGGGGGGACCAUCCUCCAAGGCUAAAUACUCCUGACUGACCGAUAGUGAACCAGUACCGUGAGGGAAAGGCGAAAAGAACCCCGGCGAGGGGAGUGAAAAAGAACCUGAAACCGUGUACGUACAAGCAGUGGGAGCACGCUUAGGCGUGUGACUGCGUACCUUUUGUAUAAUGGGUCAGCGACUUAUAUUCUGUAGCAAGGUUAACCGAAUAGGGGAGCCGAAGGGAAACCGAGUCUUAACUGGGCGUUAAGUUGCAGGGUAUAGACCCGAAACCCGGUGAUCUAGCCAUGGGCAGGUUGAAGGUUGGGUAACACUAACUGGAGGACCGAACCGACUAAUGUUGAAAAAUUAGCGGAUGACUUGUGGCUGGGGGUGAAAGGCCAAUCAAACCGGGAGAUAGCUGGUUCUCCCCGAAAGCUAUUUAGGUAGCGCCUCGUGAAUUCAUCUCCGGGGGUAGAGCACUGUUUCGGCAAGGGGGUCAUCCCGACUUACCAACCCGAUGCAAACUGCGAAUACCGGAGAAUGUUAUCACGGGAGACACACGGCGGGUGCUAACGUCCGUCGUGAAGAGGGAAACAACCCAGACCGCCAGCUAAGGUCCCAAAGUCAUGGUUAAGUGGGAAACGAUGUGGGAAGGCCCAGACAGCCAGGAUGUUGGCUUAGAAGCAGCCAUCAUUUAAAGAAAGCGUAAUAGCUCACUGGUCGAGUCGGCCUGCGCGGAAGAUGUAACGGGGCUAAACCAUGCACCGAAGCUGCGGCAGCGACGCUUAUGCGUUGUUGGGUAGGGGAGCGUUCUGUAAGCCUGCGAAGGUGUGCUGUGAGGCAUGCUGGAGGUAUCAGAAGUGCGAAUGCUGACAUAAGUAACGAUAAAGCGGGUGAAAAGCCCGCUCGCCGGAAGACCAAGGGUUCCUGUCCAACGUUAAUCGGGGCAGGGUGAGUCGACCCCUAAGGCGAGGCCGAAAGGCGUAGUCGAUGGGAAACAGGUUAAUAUUCCUGUACUUGGUGUUACUGCGAAGGGGGGACGGAGAAGGCUAUGUUGGCCGGGCGACGGUUGUCCCGGUUUAAGCGUGUAGGCUGGUUUUCCAGGCAAAUCCGGAAAAUCAAGGCUGAGGCGUGAUGACGAGGCACUACGGUGCUGAAGCAACAAAUGCCCUGCUUCCAGGAAAAGCCUCUAAGCAUCAGGUAACAUCAAAUCGUACCCCAAACCGACACAGGUGGUCAGGUAGAGAAUACCAAGGCGCUUGAGAGAACUCGGGUGAAGGAACUAGGCAAAAUGGUGCCGUAACUUCGGGAGAAGGCACGCUGAUAUGUAGGUGAAGUCCCUCGCGGAUGGAGCUGAAAUCAGUCGAAGAUACCAGCUGGCUGCAACUGUUUAUUAAAAACACAGCACUGUGCAAACACGAAAGUGGACGUAUACGGUGUGACGCCUGCCCGGUGCCGGAAGGUUAAUUGAUGGGGUUAGCGGUAACGCGAAGCUCUUGAUCGAAGCCCCGGUAAACGGCGGCCGUAACUAUAACGGUCCUAAGGUAGCGAAAUUCCUUGUCGGGUAAGUUCCGACCUGCACGAAUGGCGUAAUGAUGGCCAGGCUGUCUCCACCCGAGACUCAGUGAAAUUGAACUCGCUGUGAAGAUGCAGUGUACCCGCGGCAAGACGGAAAGACCCCGUGAACCUUUACUAUAGCUUGACACUGAACAUUGAGCCUUGAUGUGUAGGAUAGGUGGGAGGCUUUGAAGUGUGGACGCCAGUCUGCAUGGAGCCGACCUUGAAAUACCACCCUUUAAUGUUUGAUGUUCUAACGUUGACCCGUGAUCCGGGUUGCGGACAGUGUCUGGUGGGUAGUUUGACUGGGGCGGUCUCCUCCUAAAGAGUAACGGAGGAGCACGAAGGUUGGCUAAUCCUGGUCGGACAUCAGGAGGUUAGUGCAAUGGCAUAAGCCAGCUUGACUGCGAGCGUGACGGCGCGAGCAGGUGCGAAAGCAGGUCAUAGUGAUCCGGUGGUUCUGAAUGGAAGGGCCAUCGCUCAACGGAUAAAAGGUACUCCGGGGAUAACAGGCUGAUACCGCCCAAGAGUUCAUAUCGACGGCGGUGUUUGGCACCUCGAUGUCGGCUCAUCACAUCCUGGGGCUGAAGUAGGUCCCAAGGGUAUGGCUGUUCGCCAUUUAAAGUGGUACGCGAGCUGGGUUUAGAACGUCGUGAGACAGUUCGGUCCCUAUCUGCCGUGGGCGCUGGAGAAUUGAGGGGGGCUGCUCCUAGUACGAGAGGACCGGAGUGGACGCAUCACUGGUGUUCGGGUUGUCAUGCCAAUGGCACUGCCCGGUAGCUAAAUGCGGAAGAGAUAAGUGCUGAAAGCAUCUAAGCACGAAACUUGCCCCGAGAUGAGUUCUCCCUGACUCCUUGAGAGUCCUGAAGGAACGUUGAAGACGACGACGUUGAUAGGCCGGGUGUGUAAGCGCAGCGAUGCGUUGAGCUAACCGGUACUAAUGAACCGUGAGGCUUAACCUUACAACGCCGAAG
rnacentral:rRNA from 1 species